GACGAACCGUGCGAACGUUGUUCGGAUUCACUGGGCUUAAAGGGCGCGUAGGCGGGUGAUCCAGUCUGGGGUGAAAUCCUCUCGCUCAACGAGAGAACUCGCCUUAGAUACUGGAUCAUCUCCGAGGAAGGUAGGGGCAUGUGGAACUUCCGGUGGAGCGGUGAAAUGCGUAGAUAUCGGAAGGAACGCCGGUGGCGAAAGCG
rnacentral:rRNA from 1 species